GACGAACGCUGGCGGCGUGCCUAAUACAUGCAAGUCGAGCGGACCAAAGGGAGCUUGCUCCUGGAGGUUAGCGGCGAACGGGUGAGUAACACGUGGGCAACCUGCCUGUAAGACUGGGAUAACAUCGAGAAAUCGGUGCUAAUACCGGAUAAUAAAAAGAACUGCAUGGUUCUUUUUGAAAGAUGGUUUCGGCUAUCACUUACAGAUGGGCCCGCGGCGCAUUAGCUAGUUGGUGAGGUAACGGCUCACCAAGGCGACGAUGCGUAGCCGACCUGAGAGGGUGAUCGGCCACACUGGGACUGAGACACGGCCCAGACUCCUACGGGAGGCAGCAGUAGGGAAUCUUCCGCAAUGGACGAAAGUCUGACGGAGCAACGCCGCGUGAGUGAUGAAGGUUUUCGGAUCGUAAAACUCUGUUGUUAGGGAAGAACAAGUGCCGUUCGAAAGGGCGGCACCUUGACGGUACCUAACGAGAAAGCCACGGCUAACUACGUGCCAGCAGCCGCGGUAA
rnacentral:rRNA from 1 species